rnacentral:SRP_RNA from 1 species
CGUCAGAGGCUGUGGAGUCAUGGCAGGUAAACUCCGCCAGGGCCGGAAGGCAGCAACGGUAGCUUGUCCAUGAUUGCCGCAGUUCUCUGGCACUU